rnacentral:lncRNA from 1 species
GCCUUUGAUUUUUGAUUCCAGAGUUCAUUUGGAAUAUUUUGGACUAUUACCGACUCUGUCAAACUCAGCUUGCUCUGAAUUCUAUUCGAAUCCUUAUUACCUUUGUCUUGUUGUGUCAUAUGAUUCCGACCAAUUUCAAACUAUCUCUCUUUCAUGAUUUCUUUGUUCUUCACCCUCAUCCAAAUGCUGAGGGUUGGUGGUUCUUCAACCUG